rnacentral:rRNA from 1 species
GACGAACGCUGGCGGCGUGCUUAACACAUGCAAGUCGAACGGAAAGGCCCUGCUUGCAGGGUGCUCGAGUGGCGAACGGGUGAGUAACACGUGGGUGAUCUGCCCCUUACUUUGGGAUAAGCCUGGGAAACUGGGUCUAAUACUGGAUAGGACCAUGCUGUAGGUGGUGUGGUGGAAAGAUAAGUUUCGGUUUGGGAUGAGCUCGCGGCCUAUCAGCUUGUAGGUGGGGUAAUGGCCUACCAAGGCGUCGACGGGUAGCCGGCCUGAGUGGGUGGGAGGCCCGAUCGGGACUGCGACGGGGGCCAGAAGUCGGAGGGAGGCCGCAAUGGGGGAUAGUGCGACAGGGGCGCGAGGCUGGAGCAGCGAAGGCCUUCGGAGGAUGACGGCCUUCUGGUUGUAAACUCCUUUCAGCCAUGACGAAGCCCUUGUGGUGACGGUAGUGGUAGAAGAAGCACCGGCUAACUACGUG